CGUCGUCAGAUCAAGAUUACGGAUCAAGUUCCUAGAGUAUUCAAACCUGCACAAAGUGAUUCCCGUGGUUUUAAAACUCACACGAUAAGCAAGUGUCCUCCAAUUGCUAAUGACAUUAUUGAUCUAACUGGUUUGAAUGAGAAAGUCGAUGCUAAUGCUUUAGAAAAACAAUUUUCCACAAUUACCCUUGACAGCGACACUCCUCGUGAUUCACCUGACACUUGUAACAAGAAAAUACGCGUUACUGUUGAGUGGUGAUAGUGAAGACAGACUGGAGGUUGCAAUCAAUGAAGUUUUUUAUCAAGGAGUAAAAAUAAACAAUAAUACUGCGGGCAAAAAAAUUAAUGCAUCUGACGUCGAGAAAAACAUCGAGAAGGAAAAUGUUUAUGAAGAUAACAAGACAAAUGAGGGUUAUAUUAUUGAGGAUGUCGAGGAGGAUGGCGAAAAUAAUGCAUCUGGCAUUAGGAUAGAUGGCGAUGAUAGAGCAUUUGAUGUUGAGAACGAUGAUGAGAAAGGUACAUUUGACUUUGGCAGGAAUGCUAAAAAUUAUGCAUCUGACGUUAGGAUGGAUGACGAUAACUGUGUAUCUAAUGUUGAGAACGAUGAUCAGAACGGUGCAUUUGACUUUGGCCAACAUGGUGAAAAUAAUGCAUCUGACGUUAGGAUGGAUGACGAUAACUGUGUAUCUAUUGUUGAGAGCGAUGAUGAGAAUGGCACGUCUGAUGUUAAGAGUGAUGAUUAAAAUGUUGUGUCUGAUGUUGAGUAUGAUAACAAGAAUGGUACACCCCAUGUUCAGAAUGAUG